GUGGGGAAUCUUAGACAAUGGGCGCAAGCCUGAUCUAGCCAUGCCGCGUGAGUGACGAAGGCCUUAGGGUCGUAAAGCUCUUUCGCCAGAGAUGAUAAUGACAGUAUCUGGUAAAGAAACCCCGGCUAACUCCGUGCCAGCAGCCGCGGUAAUACGGAGGGGGUUAGCGUUGUUCGGAAUUACUGGGCGUAAAGCGUACGUAGGCGGAUUAGAAAGUAGGGGGUGAAAUCCCAGGGCUCAACCCUGGAACUGCCUCCUAAACUACUAGUCUAGAGUUCGAGAGAGGUGAGUGGAAUUCCAAGUGUAGAGGUGAAAUUCGUAGAUAUUUGGAGGAACACCAGUGGCGAAGGCGGCUCACUGGCUCGAUACUGACGCUGAGGUACGAAAGUGUGGGGAGCAAACAGGAUUAGAAACCCUAGUAGUCC
rnacentral:rRNA from 1 species